rnacentral:lncRNA from 1 species
CUAAUGAACUUCUUCUCUCACCUUUUAUAUGACGUGAUGAGAGAUGUAAUAUAUCAAACCUGUCUAUUUAGACAGCAAUGAUAACUGAACGAUGCCAUCACCAUCCCGUAACAAACAAAAUAUUUAUAUACGGAUGCAACUUUAAUCUAUUUAUGUAAGUAAUAACCACCUCUAAAUAAUUCAAAUCAAAUAAAUAAUUAUUAUAUAAUAAAUAAUAAUAAUAAAAGGUGAAAAGUAAAUAAAUUAACAGACACCUAGAGCUUUUUCGAAAUAUAAGAUUUUGACGUACGAAACAUCUGUAUGGAAGCAGAAACCAACUCUGGAGGACCAAUACACCAAUGAGUCAAGUAGAGACAAAAAUUUAGGAAACCAUUACGGCAAAGUCAUCAAUCCGUUAUUAAACAAUUAUUCAUGGAAACCAGGGAUUACUUGGACUUCGUUAAGAAAGUGGUAAAAACUCAGGUUACAGGCGAUGUAUCUAACUGCAAUGAUAAUGUAUAAUUAUCUAGCAUCAAUGUUAGAGAUAUCAAAUGAUACAUCGCUGGAAUGUUCAAGAGAAGAAAAAAAAAGUGUCUAACGAAAUGGAUAAAUUAAGCUUUCCAAAGGUAAUUGAGAAGGGUAUUCCUGAAUGGAAUACUGUCAUGUCGGAAAAAAAAAAUACAAAAGUGGAAGACUAAGUUAUAAACGAAAAAGGGUGUGGUAUAUAACAACUCUAUUUGUAUCAAGAGUGGGAGACCUUCAUGGGGCUCCAAUCUCAUGAGAUGAGUGGCUGGUAAUGUCUUCUCCCAGUCAUAAAACAACUUUAAACGAGAAGCAGUUAUAAUUAAAGUUUUACUAGUGCUUUACGUGGCCAGGUCUAGCAAUUCCAAUAUACCUAUGGGGCUGGAUAAACUCAUAGGGAAGUUAAUCUCCACUUUAGACGUUUUUAGGGAGGACAGCUAUCAUUGAGAUCGUAUAAAGCUUAACAAUGGACCAGAGAGUUUUCUAGAGAUUCGAGAUAGCUCUUAUUCGUUACUAUUGUAACUAUUGUAUAAAUAAAUGAACAAGAUUCACGCUUCGUAACGUCAACGUUGAUCGAUACUAAGUAUAUGUAUACUCAAAGAUAAAUUGUAGAAUAGGAAAAGAAUGAGCGAGGAUCAAUAGAGGAAAGAAAAAACACGCAUUCAAAAAAGGUUUCUUUCUGUUUUUAUGUUGACGCAUGUGCAAUAUUGUUUUUUGUUCAUGUUUAAAAUACUGUUAAAAUACUUCUAAUGUAUCAUAACUACGUACAUAUGUUUUCAUUUGAGUUUUCAAUAAUGUCAUAAUUACGAUCCUAGAAGGAAUAAAUCAAUGUUCACUCAAAAAUAAACAAAAAUACUCUGAAAUACAAAUCAUUAAUUAAGUGAAAACAAGAAAAUAAAUUGUUAGGCGAAGGAAAAACUACUCUCAGCGAAAUGAGCUAUAGCAACGCAGAUACCUAUGCACAAAAAAAUUGAAAAUGAACCAUGGGAUCUUGAAUCGAUGGGUCAUAGAAUACCACAAAGGCCCCUUUUUACUUCUUUCAGAAAAUUAUAAAAGUUGAAAUCCUUUCUAAAGUUAAUCUCCCAUGUUAAAUAGAAUUAACAGAUCAAAAAGGUAAUCAAUUCACUGCCAAAAUUGAAUCAAGACAGCUCAUGAAGGCAAAAAAUUAGCCUAUUCCAUUUGAGAUUAUAAUACUAGAAGUAAAGGGGAGGAUAGCCGCUGAUUUAGUAGAGCACUGUAUCGGCCCAUUUGCAAAAGUUGAUUCCUACUCAAAAACACCUAAACAAUUGGAUGAUAUAAUUGAGGCAUCAAGAUUUGAUAUGGCCAAGGAUUAGGCAAAAGGGAUAAAAGACUGAGUAAGAACCUCUACACCUUAUGUACCCGUAAGGUUUGUUGGUAAUCCUAAAAAUGUAACCGGUUUCUCCCAAUUGGUUCGUACAUUACGUUAUAUAUUUUAGUAGAUGAUCAAAGCAAUGUUGCAGAUGCUUUACCUUUGGAGAUAUUGCAAAAGAAUACAAUAAUCUUAUCGAAGUCCAUAAGAAUAUAGAAGAUGGCUUGGGAGAAAAAUGAAUAGAAAGAACGCUAAUGGAAAAUUGAUCUCAAUUACAGAAGAAGGAUUUAGUAAAAACAAACAAAAGCAAAAAAAUCACAA